rnacentral:rRNA from 1 species
CCUGCACGAAGCCGGAGUUGCUAGUAAUCGCGAAUCAGAAUGUCGCGGUGAAUGCGUUCCCGGGUCUUGUACACACCGCCCGUCACACCAUGGAAGUUGGGGGUGCCCAAAGCCGGCAAGCAAAUAUGCUGUCUAAGGCAAAACCAAUGACUGGGGUGAAGUCGUAACAAGGUAUC